AUCUGAUCACACCAAUUAAUCAGAGGUGGGGAAGUAAAAAUCUCAGAGGACAACAUUUGCAGAGGAUUUAAAGGUUGGUCAUCAAGCAUAUUUGGAUCACUUUUCAGAUGUUAUUCCUGAAGGCCAGUGCAAAGGUAUCUAGGAAUGUAGGUCAACUAUAGUUGAAGACAGGGCUUUAUCCCAUCAAAUCAUGACGGAAAAUGUCCAAGCCACCCUGCAUGAUUUCUGUCACCAGCCAUACUUGAGCACCUGGUUUUAGAGAGUCCAGGAUCCUGGGCAAGCUUGCUCUUCAGCUCACCCAUCUGAACAGCAUGGAUUUCCUACGUGUGCUUCUGGCCUUUUAGCCACAGCCCCUGGGAUAAUGACCCCUACCAGCAAGGCAGCUCAAACUGCAGAAACCGGGCUCAUCGAUCCAUCCUAAGGCUCACACUGGAUCUCAGCUUCCUCAAGAGCACAGGACCACACUUUUUUCCCACAACACUACAGAUGUUUUUGUUCUCUGGCUCUGCAAUUAGAAAGAAAAGCCUGCAGGAGAGCAGGAGAUAUUUUGGAGAGGCUGUGUAUUCCUGAACCUCUGGGAUUGGUGAGGGAGAUAUACUUGCAGUUGGAAAGAUGUGUAAAUCAGAGGGAGCUACUUCUAGAGGGAUCAUGGUGAACAAGCCCUUCCUUCACAGCCACUUGGGGUUCUGAAACUGGCACCAUCUGAGCAGCAGAAGAAUUAGCAGCCAUUUUCAGUAAUCACUUAUUUACUGGAAUCAUGUAGAACACGGAUGUAAAAAAAAUAUCAUCCUUAUGAAAGAAGUGACUGCAGACAACAGACACCAGAACUGAGGCAAGUGAGAGGACAAAAGAGAUAAGUGGGUAAGACACCUGCAGCUUAGCAGGGGGAGCAGCUUCCCUCUUUCAAAUAAAAAAGGUACAUGUGUGGUACUUUUGAAAGGAAAAAAGGAUGUUAAAAGACUAAGUGCAUAAUUUACCUAUUAAGACAGAACGUCUAAUUUGCAUUACAGUUUUACUGCCAGAUGUGAGUUCCUGAAAUUUCUACAAAACCAAAAGGUAACUACACCUCGAAAUGCUAUUUGUUCCCUGGCAUGAGGAAUGCUGCAACACUCAAAAUGCUCCCUCUGGGCAGACAUGGCAGGGAGAGAUUUAGAUCUGUGUGGUGAUGCAACUAUUCAGGCUGACUCCAAAAUUAAACGUGUCCAGCCGAUGGUCAUGCAGGCAACCACAUUUAGAGGAUGACAUCUUUUUUAACUCUUUUCUUAGGAGGGAUAUAAACAAGACUGCAAUAAGUAAAUCAACUCCUAACCAAAAACAUAAGGGAAUUUCUUUGCAGUAACUGAUAAACUUUUCCUGUGCAAACUUCUUUGCAUAGGGAAGUUACUCUACAAGUUUCUGUGAUGCCCAAUCCCAGCCCUUUCCUUUGGUGAGCAUCAGCCACACGAGAGCACCAGUCAGCCCCACUGCCAGGUACCACAGGUCAGCACUCUACAGAGAGUAAAACCUGCUUAAAAUAUUUUCAUAGUUAGGUAAUUUGAAAAUAGGUGAGCAACAGUUAAAGUUUUAUUCUACUAUCUAAAAUGUGAAUCUCUACACAAAAUAAUUGUCUAUCUUAGGAAUAGUGGCUGUAUUCCUCUUUUCCACCCCUGACAGUUUAAUUUAGCCAGUUUACUUCUUGGGAAGAGUUGUAUUACUAAAAUAAAAGUAAACAACAUUUUGAAGGACUUAAAACAUAUAAUUCUAUUUAAACUAAGUUUGUGUUGUCAAGAUACCCAAAGAAAUCCCAAUGAGCAAGGAGUAUAAUUAAGGCAGUUGAUAGCAUUAUUUCCACCAUAAAUUUUCAUUUAAAGUUUUGUAGUUGAUGCAGAACAGAUGCAUCUAUGAAAAUAGUGUACUUUUCCUUCUAAACAACAAAUGAACUUCUGACUGCCCAGGUCACUUAGUUUGUGUACUGACAGACUGGGUUUUCGGUAGUUGACCUUUAUCAGAUUGGCUGACUGACAGCAAUUUGGUCGGUCAUUCUGUUAAAGGCAAAUGUGUAUUUCUUUGCCCCAGAAUAAAAAUGUGAAUUGGUUAAUAGAAUAUCAAGCCCUAUUUCUGUUCUGUACUUUUCUGUUGUUGUAUUGUUGUUUGGCUUGAGUACCUUUAUCCUGCUAUUUAGCUAAAUCACUAGCAAUAAAAUGAAAGAAAAUUUAAAUCAAUAACUGUGUUCAGAAAAAUUGUACUAAAGCUAUAAAUAGAAUGAGUUGCUUCCAA